rnacentral:rRNA from 1 species
CUACGUGCCAGCAGCCGCGGUAAUACGUAGGGUGCGAGCGUUAAUCGGAAUUACUGGGCGUAAAGCGGGCGCAGACGGUUACUUAAGCAGGAUGUGAAAUCCCCGGGCUCAACCUGGGAACUGCGUUCUGAACUGGGUGACUAGAGUGUGUCAGAGGGAGGUAGAAUUCCACGUGUAGCAGUGAAAUGCGUAGAGAUGUGGAGGAAUACCGAUGGCGAAGGCAGCCUCCUGGGAUAACACUGACGUUCAUGCCCGAAAGCGUGGGUAGCAAACAGGAUUAGAUACCCUGGUAGUCCACGCUGUAAACGAUGUCGAUUUGGGGGUUGAACUUUGAGUUUGGCGCCCGUAGCUAACGUGAUAAAUCGACCGCCUGGGGAGUACGGCCGCAAGGUUAAAACUCAAAUGAAUUGACGGGGGCCCGCACAAGCGGUGGAGCAUGUGGUUUAAUUCGAUGCAACGCGAAGAACCUUACCUACUCUUGACAUCCAGAGAACAUUC